GAUGAACGCUGGCGGCGUGCCUAAUACAUGCAAGUCGAGCGAACAGACGAGGAGCUUGCUCCUCUGACGUUAGCGGCGGACGGGUGAGUAACACGUGGAUAACCUACCUAUAAGACUGGGAUAACUUCGGGAAACCGGAGCUAAUACCGGAUAAUAUAUUGAACCGCAUGGUUCAAUAGUGAAAGACGGUUUUGCUGUCACUUAUAGAUGGAUCCGCGCCGAAUUAGCUAUUUGGUAAGGUAACGGCUUACCAAGGCAACGAUGCGUAGCCGACCUGAGAGGGUGAUCGGCCACACUGGAACUGAGACACGGUCCAGACUCCUACGGGAGGCAGCAGUAGGGAAUCUUCCGCAAUGGGCGAAAGCCUGACGGAGCAACGCCGCGUGAGUGAUGAAGGUCUUCGGAUCGUAAAACUCUGUUAUUAGGGAAGAACAAAUGUGUAAGUAACUAUGCACGUCUUGACGGUACCUAAUCAGAAAGCCACGGCUAACUACGUG
rnacentral:rRNA from 1 species